rnacentral:rRNA from 1 species
AAGACCUCAAAUCAGGUGAGACUACCCACUGAACUUAAGCAUAUCAAUAAGCGGAGGA